rnacentral:rRNA from 1 species
GAUGAACGCUGGCGGCGUGCUUAACACAUGCAAGUCGAACGGAAAGGCUCCUGCUUGCAGGGGUACUCGAGUGGCGAACGGGUGAGUAACACGUGGGUGAUCUGCCCUGCACUUCGGGAUAAGCCUGGGAAACUGGGUCUAAUACCGGAUAGGACGAUGGUUUGGAUGCCAUUGUGGAAAGUUUUUUCGGUGUGGGAUGAGCUCGCGGCCUAUCAGCUUGUUGGUGGGGUAAUGGCCUACCAAGGCGUCGACGGGUAGCCGGCCUGAGAGGGUGUACGGCCACAUUGGGACUGAGAUACGGCCCAGACUCCUACGGGAGGCAGCAGUGGGGAAUACUGCACAAUGGGCGCAAGCCUGAUGCAGCGACGCCGCGUGGGGGAUGACGGCCUUCGGGUUGUAAACUCCUUUCGCUAGGGACGAAGCGCAAGUGACGGUACCUGGAGAAGAAGCACCGGCUAACUACGUG